rnacentral:rRNA from 1 species
UACGGGGGGGGCAAGCGUUGUUCGGAAUUACUGGGCGUAAAGGGCUCGUAGGCGGCCAACUAAGUCCGACGUGAAAGCCCCGAGCUUAACUUGGGAACUGCGCUCGAAACUACUUGGCUAGAGUGUGGCAGAGGGAGGUGGAAUUCCACGUGUAGCGGUGAAAUGCGUAGAGAUGUGGAGGAACACCGAUGGCGAAGGCAGCCUCCUGGGCCAACACUGACGCUCAUGCACGAAAGCGUGGGGAGCAAACAGG